CUUCUUCGGCUUGCAGCGGCGCUGCUGCUUCUUCUCCUCCUCCUUUGGCUCCUCGGACUCCUCGGGGUCCCUCGGAUCCUUGUCCUCGGGCUCGGGCUCGGGCUCCUCCCCCUGCCUGGGGUUCUGGGGCUCCUGAGUGCUGGGCUGCGCGCGACUCGGGGAGGCGUCGGGGCUCCGCAAUCUCAGAGCGUGCAGACGCUCGGUGAGAGAUUGGCCGAAGGUGGUGUGCUUGGGCACCACGGGGCCGCGCUCGUCCUCGGGCUCGGUCUCGGGCUCAGUGGCGGGGGCGGUCUCAGGCUCGGUCUCGAAGUCGGUCUCGGAUUCGAUUUCAGACUCGGUCUCGGUCUCGCUCUCGGAUUCGUAGUCAAACUCUUCCUCGUACUCUAGGCACUCGGGGAGGGACAGCUCGAGGUCUGCCUCCUCGUGCUCGUGGUCAGAUUCGGGGGGCUCGGGGAACACCUGGGCGCCGGAGCGGUGGUGGGCGUUAAGGAAGCUCCGGCGCUGCUGGGCGGNCGGCCGCGCGCUGCUGGGCGCGGGCGUUGGAGGUGGCAAGGGCGCGGAGGAGCGCGAUGGAGCAGGAGAGCCAGAGGAGCGCGGUGGCUGCCCGGCGGCCGAUAGGUGGGCACAGAUCGUUGUAGUUGUGGCGAGCUCGGCGCCACUGCUGAGCCCGGGACCUACGAUCCAUUCUCUUAGGCGCACACCGAGAAGCCCACCCGCCCUCUGGCUCUGCAGAGAGCGGCUCCGAUGCGCAUCGGCUGCUGGAGCCGAAAAAGGUGCACCCCACGAGGUGAGAAGCUGGGUCCGGAGGUCCCAGCCCCACCUCAGUGUGAGGGGGGAAAAGGGAAGCACCUACCUUCCUGACCACUCAACUUUCUAAAGCUCCGCGCCUCCGCUCGCCUCUCUGAGCAAGAAGAAGGGAUGGGAAAAAGGGGAAGAGAGAGUCUGUCUCCUCCCAGGCUCCUCUCUCUAAGUCUCAGACUCUGCGGUCUAAGACCAGGGAGAGGUGCCUCCGC
rnacentral:lncRNA from 1 species